rnacentral:rRNA from 1 species
UACAGAGGGUGCGAGCGUUGUCCGGAAUCACUGGGCGUAAAGGGCGCGUAGGUGGUGGCUUAAGCGUGCGGUGAAAGCUCGGGGCUCAACCCCGAGUCGGCCGUGCGAACUGGGCUCACUGGAGCAUAGUAGAGCCAGGUGGAAUUCCGGGUGUAGCGGUGGAAUGCGUAGAGAUCCGGAAGAACACCGGUGGCGAAGGCGGUCUGCUGGGCCAAGACUGACGCUGAGGCGCGACAGCGUGGGGAGCAAACAGG